UUGAACAACCGCAUUUCACAGCUCAUAUUCAAGAGGAGAAUCCUGGCCCUGCCCAUCCCUCAGCCCAUCUGCAUGGAGAGGUCUGGUGACUCUGUUCUGGCGCUGUCCUUGUUAAAGUCUGCUUUCACAGGAGAAUGCAGUGGAUGAAAUGAUUCUAGCAGACCCGAUUUCUAAGCCACAAAACUUGGAAACUCAACCUCUGCUGCAUAGAACUUUAUAUUUGUUUUGGAGCUUAAUACUGUCUCAUCCAAUCAAAAAUACCCACGAACGUGGCUUCCCACAGAUCUGAAUUCCCCACAUAAAGAAGGCACCACAGCCAUUGAGUUGACUAUAUAGAAGAUGGAAAGAAGUGAAAGGGACAGAAUGAACCUCAAUAAAACCCAGAAGCCAGAAAACUCCAAGACCUAAGGUAAAAAAGGAAAGUCUUCAACUCCAUAUAGGAUAGAAGAUGGAAAGAAGUGAAAAGGACAAUGAACCUCAAUAAAACCCAGAAGCCAGAAAACUCCAAGACCUAAGUUGUAGGUUCAACAAAAUAUAUUCAGUUGCUGUGCUACUUUGCCUAAUGGAUUUGGAUAAUGAACACGGAAAAACAGAAGAAGACAAUCUGAGAUGUAUGCUACACUGCUUCUCGGAAGUCCUGGUUUCCCACAGUUCUGACCUGCCCGGAAAAAUGAUCUCUAAAAUUGGUAUCAAGUCAACAGGCCAGGAAAAAGAACUUCUAACCAGGCGAUAUGGAAGAAAAUAACUGUACCAUUGGACUUAAGCUGAAAUACAAACUCUAUCAUAAGCCUUUUUAUUAACCUUGGACAAGAAAAUAAUUUCUUACCUGAGACCUUCAUUGUAAAAUAAAUACCAAAAACUACACUCACAAAACUAGCAUACUGGCUGUGACUGAGAUACACUCCAGAGAUCCCUGAAUGAAGAAUGAGCCACUCAGUAAGGACUCAGGAUGAUUAAGAGGUAAACAGAUGGACGUCCGCUCCUGCAACAUUUCCAAAGGAGUACAUAGCAGGGGCUGAGCCACAGAAUGAGAACAGCUAUUAUCAAGAAAGAGCUUGGUUGAAAAAAUGAAGGAUCUCACAGAAGAACAGCAGCAAUGCUAGCAUCAGGAACAGUAUAAACCUCAGUUUGGAGCUCUUCAAACUUUACCAAAAGAAGCACACAGUAAGAUCUCACACAAGA